rfam:Triticum aestivum genome assembly, contig: Triticum_aestivum_CS42_TGACv1_scaffold_195459_3AL
CUUAUACUCCCUCCGUUCCGAAUUACUCGUCGCAGAAAUAGAUGUAUCUAGAUGUAUUUUAGUUCUAGAUACAUCCAUUUCUGCGACGAGUAAUUUAGAACGGAGGGAGUAACUU